rnacentral:rRNA from 1 species
UACGUAGGGUGCGAGCGUUAAUCGGAAUUACUGGGCGUAAAGCGUGCGCAGGCGGUUCGUUGUGUCGGCGGUGAAAGCCCCGGGCUUAACCUGGGAAUGGCCGUUGAAACUGGCGAACUGGAGUGUGGCAGAGGGGGGUGGAAUUCCGCGUGUAGCAGUGAAAUGCGUAGAGAUGCGGAGGAACACCGAUGGCGAAGGCAGCCCCCCUGGGCUAACACUGACGCUCAGGCACGAAAGCGUGGGGGAGCAAACAGG